rnacentral:rRNA from 1 species
AAAUUGAAGAGUUUGAUCAUGGCUCAGAUUGAACGCUGGCGGCAGGCCUAACACAUGCAAGUCGAACGGUAACAGGAAGCAGCUUGCUGUUUCGCUGACGAGUGGCGGACGGGUGAGUAAUGGCUGGGAAACAGCCUGAUGGAGGGGGAUAACUACUGGAAACGGUAGCUAAUACCGCAUAACGUCGCAAGACCAAAGAGGGGGACCUUCGGGCCUCUUGCCAUCGGAUGUGCCCAGAUGGGAUUAGCUAGUAGGUGGGGUAACGGCUCACCUAGGCGACGAUCCCUAGCUGGUCUGAGAGGAUGACCAGCCACACUGGAACUGAGACACGGUCCAGACUCCUACGGGAGGCAGCAGUGGGGAAUAUUGCACAAUGGGCGCAAGCCUGAUGCAGCCAUGCCGCGUGUAUGAAGAAGGCCUUCGGGUUGUAAAGUACUUUCAGCGGGGAGGAAGGGAGUAAAGUUAAUACCUUUACUCAUUGACGUUACCCGCAGAAGAAGCACCGGCUAACUCCGUGCCAGCAGCCGCGGUAAUACGGAGGGUGCAAGCG